GUCCCUCUGUGUUUCUACCACCCCUGAGAACCUCAGCUGCUUCCCCACAGAUUGCCAUCGCAGGCUAUGGCUGAAGCGAAUCCCCACAGGGCAAACCCUCUUGAACAGGGCUUCACUGCCAGGCAGGGCUGCCCACACACCGAGCUCUUACUGAACAGCCCAGCAGUCAGUGAGAGAGGCUGUGGCACAGGCACCACAGAAGGUGCCAGGUGCUCUGAUGACCACAUUAGGCCCAUUAUACUGGAUCAAUUAAUGCAGAAGCUCAGUGUAGGACACUGAGUGUUGAUGGGGAAGACCUGUGAUGCCCUGGGCCCUGCCCGGGCCAGGGGAGGCUCCAAGGAGUGGCUGAUCAGGUGGUACAGAAAUGCUGAAGUGAUACACACUGACAAUUUGGACAUUUUUCAAGUUGAGAAAUUAAUCAAAACCAACAUUUCCCUGCAAAGGUUUCAUUUUCAACCAAGCAGGCCUCUUCUGAUUAAAGAAGUUGCAUAAAAAUUCUUAUUCAUCUCUGCGCAGGAGCACUGCUGUAGCUGUUGGGGACUAAGGGACAGAGGUAUUACCACCAGCCACUUCAUACCCUGCACUAAGUGGAUGUUAGAGCAGAAGCAGAAGCUUUUGUCUGCAAGAGGAGCAAGCACGAGUUGCUUAUUUGCAUCAAGAGGUAAGUCACAUGUUCUAAGUAACACCAGUCCAAUGUAUAUUUGAGAUACUGCAAAACAGAGCAUUGAGGGGCUGUUUAACUGAUAUAAACCUUAAUUGUAUGCAAACAAGCCAGAACAGCAUUUGGGAUCAGUAUCUUCAAGUCACUGAAAGCUACUAUGACCCUAUGUCUGAAGAAACUAUCACGACUAAUUCAAUUUAAUGAUAUACAGGAUUUCAGUUCAAAGAUCAUAGAAUUCCCUUGAAACUCUGCAGCAUCUUCAAAAGACAUAGAAUAUAAACAGGAAACGGGAUACUCUGGACCACAAUAAAAACAACAACUGGCUUCUGCAAGAAUGAAAAGAAAAAUAUAAGUUUUGAUUUUCUGUUACUUCUUUCACAUAUUGCAACAUUCAUCUGGAACAGACUUUUGUGAAUAAAGUAAAAUAAAAAUAAGAAAAGCUAAAAGAUGAAGUGAUUUUAAAAUAACCACCUACAGAAUUACACAAAUAUAAAUGUUACAGUCCAAAAUCAUACACCCAUUCUUCAAAGGCUCACCUUCAGCACACCCGUUAAAAGGAAAUGUUCAUGCUCAGCUCAUGGAAAAGUAGUAUAUCAGAGUUGAUGAAAGUGUCGUUUCCUGCACACCCACUUACACCAUAUGGUAAACAGGUAUUUGUAAAGAUUAAAAAGUGUUAAAAAUGUCAAACUAUAUCUGAUUGAUAAAAUUUGUAUUUGCUGGCUAUUCCACAUAUGUUAUAUGUUCAAGAAAAAAACCACAAAAGUGAAAUUCAUGUGAAGACCAAGCAAUUAUCAUCAAGCUAUUAAAUGACAUCUGGCUACCACAAAACGUUUACAUAGUUUCAGUGCUUCAACUCAAGACCCAAGCUUUCUGUGAAUUACUUGCCUUACAAAAACGUUUGACAAGUAUAUUUUUAAGAUCAUCAUAACCAGGAUGACUGGUAACUACUCUUCUAUUAGAAUGAUGGAGCUGAACUAAUGAAGGAUCACAAAGUCUCCUGAACACUUGUUUCAGAACAUGGAAAUGAAGGAGGAUAUGGCAGCAAAUACAGGCAGCAGUUUUUUCCCCUUCUCCAACAAAAACACACACAGAGGCACAGAUUACUUCAUACGUGCUACAAGGGUGCCAACAAGCCUCUGAUCGAGGUGCAAUCAAUAGACUCUUGCAACAGGUCCCUACCUGAAAGGAAGACCAAUGCAUUUGUGCUCUGUUUCGACAGCUACAAAUCGGACUAUGGCUAUGAGCAAUCUAUUCCUCUCACUCUGUGCAAGCAUUUCAGCUGAAGAUCUGGUAAUAUGUACUAUGUACACUUAACAAAAAGUCCUUACAAGCCUCCACUAUCAUUUCAGGUGAUUCACCACAGCUACUGAAGAUUCUAGGAGAUCAAUCAGCCAUUCCAGCAAUGUGCCAUUAGCACGACUCCAAGGCACUUUUGCUUCACGGCUAUGACAAAGUCACGUCACAUUGCUGACAAGGACUGAGCCAGGAGAAACACAUGACAAAACCAAACUGUGCAGGAGACACUCUGUGAAGUGCCAGGGAUCAUUACCUGACAGCUACUACAAUAAAGCAUUAAACAGAAUCCUGUCUGAAUAGAAAAACUCUUUAUACUAAAAGUCUGCCAAUAUUCAGACACAAAUGAAAAACAUUUUAAUGGAAACUCUACAUCAAAGUGUGUUUCUGGGAUCUGGUAAGGACUUAGUCAGUCCUUACCACGCUUUUUCUGUGUGUGUGAUCAAAUGGCUCUGAAAGAAGAGCAGCUUAUUGAAGUCUAAGUCUGUAAUUCAAAAGCAGGGAAUAGCACCAUCAUGUGGGUCACAGAUAAUGGAAAUUAAUUUCUAUUCAAAACUCACACUUCCAUGGCUAUUAUGAGUCAAUUCUAGAUUUGAAAAAACAAAGUCAUGAAUGUAGGACAGCCCAUCUUUGUGAAUAAUUAAUUGAUACUUAGAAGGACUAAGCUAAAAGGCCAUCAACCCACAAGACUUCCAGCUUUCUCCCUCUACAUAUUUUUUUAUAAACAGUUGGGACAGUAUUCCCUAUACAUCAACUGCUUUUCAUAUUUACCAUUAACAUACUCUUCUUCCCAGCUCUGUAUUUUGAGUUGAAAUCACUAAGGAAAUUGUCUCCAAUUGCUUCUACAAGGUAUAAAGCAAUUGUUUUGUUUAAGACAAAUGGUCAGACAGAGUCAAUACAACACGUUACACAUCAGCAAUAAAACUCAUUGAAAGAGAUGUGCACUCCAGCUCAUAGACCAUCUGCCUGUACAUACAACUGUAGCGUUGCCAUGUACCAACCACUUGCUGUGUUUAUCCAUCUCAUGAAUCCCUGCCCAAAGGCACUCAGACAUUUUGACAGAGUAAGUCAAAGCAUCACUGUAAUUUUGAAUGUUCUUCACAAUACACUGACUGCCUGCUUAGAGUCUCUCACUUCCAGUAUCUCACUGGAUACAGUAUGUUUGUCUAGAGACAGCAAUCUUGUUAGUAACGUAUCUUAAAUCACAGCAGGAUUUCCACAGACCUUAAAGCAUGAUGCAUCCCUAAGGCCAGAGUUACUAUCAGACAGAAGGCUGAUCUGAAGCAUGUGAGUGUAGCUGUAAGUUAAAGAUGCAACACCAGGGAGCUUAAAAAAAUUAUAAACUUUGUUAUAAUUAAGUGGUUACAAUUGACACUGUUUUAACCCAUGCUCAGAAAUUAGAAAAUAUGACAGCCUCAACUCAGCAGUUAUGUUCACAGUUUCAGUGAAAAAACCUCCACUUGUUUCUAAUAACUUUAGUUUGAGCAUCAUUGAAAAAUCUCAACAUUAAAACACCCCAAACCGUUAAAAGCAAAAGACCGUCUCUAGAGUGAACAUUUUCCAUUAGUACACAUUAAUAUUUGACAGACAAGCUUGAACUGGAAGCAUCUAACUUACAAACAAGAUGCAAAAGUACUUAAAUAUAUCUUAGGAAUUAAGCUUUUUAAAUUAAACUAUACUAGGACUGAAAAAAAGUAAUUAUGAUCAGUGUCAUUUGCAACUCUGAAAUUUAAGCACCUUCUAUUCUGGGGCCUUUUGUUACCAUAUCCAAUGGGUCAAAGAGGAAAUCAGUAUUCAGGGGCAAUUUUCUUUAAUCUCCCCCCAUUUAUUCCUGUAUUAUAUUCUCUUAAUAAAAGAUAAAACACUCUGAAGUCCAUGGUGUUGAAUGGUAACAACUGGCAGAAAUAAACAUAUUUUCUUACUGAGAUAAAAAAACCUCUUCUGGUCUAGUUUUAAAUAUAGCCUGAAGAUCCUAUUCUCAUCAUAAAGACAAGAAUUUUGUAACUGAAGUGCAACUUAUGUUUUAUUUAUUAUUUAACUUCCUUUCAUUAUUGUGUACUGACUUGUCCACAGAAUCCAGCACAGGCACUUUAAUUCUCCAAUGGCAACAGAAACUAAAUUAUUAAUAGUUUAAAAUUUUUGUCCACUACACUCAAAUCAAUGCUAAAAACAUUGAUUCAAAAUCAACGACUGGAAUUCCUACAUAAUCCAAGUAUAUGGCAAAAAUUAAGGUUCAUUCAAAAGUUAACUUUGUUAAUUGUUUCCACUAUCUUCAUUUUUUCCUAUGCAGCUUCUACAAGUCCGCUCAAUAAAAAUGAUCUUUGAUACGUUUAUGCAUAUACUUACACAAAAUAUAUAUUUUCUUCAUUUAAAUUUCACUUUCCACACACAUUUUUCAUAUAGUUGGUGUCCAGACACAAGUCAACUUGUGGGGGCCAAAUGGGGCCAAAACUUUACUUGUGGUGUAGCCAGAUGGACACAACUAACAGUAAAAGGAAAGCAUUCCUACAGUAACAAGAGUUUAUCUAACUACUUGAUAGGAGUGCUUGCUAACAACUAAAAAAGAGACAAUCACUUGCUUUUCUUUCUUUCCCUUCCCCCCUGCCCCAGUGAGUUAUGUGUAUCCAAACAGGCAACUCGCAGUUCAGAGAACAGUCUGAGACUGCACCUGAAGCCGCACCAGCCCACACCCCACAGCUCCCUGGGAUGGUGCU